UACGGAGGGGGCUAGCGUUGUUCGGAAUUACUGGGCGUAAAGCGCGCGUAGGCGGACCUGCAAGUCGGGGGUGAAAGCCCGAGGCUCAACCUCGGAACUGCCUUCGAUACUGCGGGUCUCGAGUCCGGGAGAGGUGAGUGGAAUUCCUAGUGUAGAGGUGAAAUUCGUAGAUAUUAGGAAGAACACCAGUGGCGAAGGCGGCUCACUGGCCCGGUACUGACGCUGAGGUGCGAAAGCGUGGGGAGCAAACAGGG
rnacentral:rRNA from 1 species